GUAGGUACCAGGAAUGUGCUGUCAUUGAAAUACAGUCCCAGUGUUUCUCAGCCUGCUCAUCCUGUGCAGUCUGUGAGAACCAGGGCACAGGGGCAAUGUAAAGUUGGAGCUGGAGAUGCCAGGGCCUGCAGCUGCCUUAGCUCAGGGUCAGCCCACAGCACACGGCUGCCUCAGGGCCCCUGGGGGCCCAGGAAGCCCCAGGUGCAAAUGUGUCUGCGUUGCACAGCUCAGACUCUGGACACACAGAGAAGCCUGUGGUCCCACAGCUCUGCAGGUGAACUAUUGGAAAUACUGAGUUUGGACUGCGGUUUAUCCAAGGUUCAUCAAGCCAGAUGACAGGUGGGAUGACUGUGUUUCUUCAAGGCCUGAGCGCACCUGGACUCACAGCUCAUUUUGAGGCAUGGCACUGACUACUGAGUGCUCCUGAACAGCAUCUUUCAGAACAGAGCUCUCUCAGAUUUCAGGUAGGCAAUGUGCUGGACGGGUUGUCACACACAAACAUCUGACCGUACAGGGAAUUUGGAAUAGAAGCUGGGGUUAUACCUUCAGCCCCACUGUAGCGUUGGAGUGAAUGGACUCUUGGUAAUUUUUAGAGUGAAUA
rnacentral:lncRNA from 1 species